rnacentral:ncRNA from 1 species
UGAUAGCUAUGAAGCGUGAGGUUGCUGCACAUAGUUGCAGGUUUUCCGUGGAGCGAAUGUCAAGUUAGGAAACUGACGGCAA